CUCUAUGGAGGGCAAGUUUGGUGCCAGCAGCCGCGGUAAUUCCAGCUCCAAUAGGGUAUAUUAAAGUUGUUGCAGUUAAAAAGCUUGUAGUUGAACCUUGGGCCUGGCUGGCCGGUCCCCCUCACGGCGAGUACUGGUCCGGCAGGCCCUCUCUUCCUGGGGAACCCCAUGCCCUCCAUUGGCUGUGGGGGGAACCAGGACUUUUACUUUGAAAAAAUUAGAGUGUUCAAAGCAGGCCUUUGCUCGAAUACAUUAGCAUGGAAUAAUAGAAUAGGACGUGAGGUUUUAUUUUGUUGGUUUUUAGGGCCCCUGUAAUGAUUAAUAGGGAUAGUUGGGGGGGUCCGUAUUUCAGUGUCCGAGGGGAAAUUUUUGGGUUUGAUUAAGGAUAAAUAAUGGGAAAGCCAUUGCCCAGGAAGGUUUCCUUUAACCAUGAACGAAAGUUAUGGAUCGAAGAGAUCAGAAUGACGCGGCUGCCCCCUCAGGGCCCGG
rnacentral:rRNA from 1 species